UACGUAGGGUGCGAGCGUUAAUCGGAAUUACUGGGCGUAAAGCGUGCGCAGGCGGUUCGUUGUGUCGGCGGUGAAAGCCCCGGGCUCAACCUGGGAAUGGCCGUUGAAACUGGCGAACUGGAGUGUGGCAGAGGGAGGUAGAAUUCCACGUGUAGCAGUGAAAUGCGUAGAGAUGUGGAGGAAUACCGAUGGCGAAGGCAGCCUCCUGGGCCAACACUGACGCUCAUGCACGAAAGCGUGGGGAGCAAACAGG
rnacentral:rRNA from 1 species